GAUGAACGCUGGCGGCGUGCCUAAUACAUGCAAGUCGAGCGAACGUACGAGAAACUUGCUUCUCUGAUGUUAGCGGCGGACGGGUGAGUAACACGUGGAUACCCUACCUAUAAGACUGGGAUAACUUCGGGAAACCAGCGCUAAUACCGCAUAAUAUUUUCAACCGCAUGGUUCAAAAGUGAACGACGGUCUUGCUGUCACUUAUAGAUGGAUCCGCGCUGCAUUAGCUAGUUGGUAAGGUAACGGCUUACCAAGGCAACGAUGCAUAGCAGACCUGAGAGGGUGAUCGGCCACACUGGAACUGAGACACGGUCCAGACUCCUACGGGAGGCAGCAGUAGGGAAUCGGCCGCAAUGGGCGAAAGCCUGACGGAGCAACGCCGCGUGAGUGAUGAAGGUCUUCGGAUCGUAAAACUCUGUUAUUAGGGAAGAACAUAUGUGUAAGUAACUGUGCACAUCUUGACGGUACCUAAUCAGAAAGCCACGGCUAACUACGUG
rnacentral:rRNA from 1 species